UUGGUAGACGCACUGGAUUUAGGUUCCAGCGCCGCAAGGUGUAAGAGUUCGAGUCUCUUCGCCCCCACCA
rnacentral:tRNA from 1 species